ACCCAAAUUUUUAUCCAGGUUGACCUCGGAUCAGGUAGGGAUACCCGCUGAACUUAAGCAUAUCAUUAAGCGGAGGAAAAGAAACAAACAGGGAUUGCCCCAGUAACGGCGAGUGAAG
rnacentral:rRNA from 1 species